rnacentral:pre_miRNA from 1 species
CAAAUACUCCCUCCGUUCCAAAUUACUUGUCGCAGAAAUGGAUGUAUCUAGAACUAAAAUACAUCUAGAUACAUUCAUACCCGCGACAAGUAAUUCGGAACGGAUGGAGUACAAC